AUUGAACGCUGGCGGCAGGCCUAACACAUGCAAGUCGAACGAGUGGCGGACGGGUGAGUAAUGUCUGGGAAACUGCCCGAUGGAGGGGGAUAACUACUGGAAACGGUAGCUAAUACCGCAUCCCAUCGGAUGUGCCCAGAUGGGAUUAGCUAGUAGGUGGGGUAACGGCUCACCUAGGCGAAGAUCCCUAGCUGGUCUGCGAGGAUGACCAGCCAGACGGGAACUGAGACACGGGCCAGACUCCUACGGGAGGCAGCAGUGGGGAAUAUUGUACAAUGGGCGCAAGUCUGAGUCAGCCAUUCCGCGUGUAUGAAGAAGGCCUUCGGGUUGUAAAGUACUUUCAGCGAGGAGGCGUUACUCGCAGAAGAAGCACCGGCUAACUCCGUGCCAGCAGCCGCGGUAAUUC
rnacentral:rRNA from 1 species